AGGGUUCAGUCCUCCGUGGCGACUCGGCUCCCGUCCUGGGUUUGUUGUCAGUACCGACCUGCGUCUUGUUUAGGUGGCGGCUUCGGGGCGCCCCGGGACCCCUAGAAUCGCUGGCCUGGCCGCGCAGGUGCCCGGGGAUUGGAGUCCACACGCCGCCGAGAGCCAGGAGUGGGAAACGGCCGCGGACUACAAGUCCCGGCGUGCCCCGCGGUAGGCGCCCAGAGCGGCAGCGCGGGCUGUGAUCUUUGGUCGGGCAGCGUGCUCCUGUCGGAGAGACUGGCCAUUGGGAAGCGGCCCUAGAGGCCCAGACCCUGGCCCUGGCGUUUGGCGGCUUGGGUGGCCCCUAGCAAGGGCCCACCGUCUUCUGGGCCUUGAGCAGGGCCGGAGAGAGCAUCAGUGUUCUAGCUCUCCAUGGAAGGAACGGUUUUAUGUUUACAAUGAAUAUCCAGAGGUAUAAAGGGCAUUUUCCCAGAAUCUUGUAACUGGAAAGCAGCUGGUUAGAAUUUGGACUCAGGACAUCAUGACCUCUAAGCUCAUCUCUUCCACUGCUGUCUGUAUACAAGGCAAUACACUUGAAACAACCCUAAUGGAAUUUCAACACAAUCCAAUUCAAACUGUGCCUAGUGACACAAGCUUGUAAUCCCAGCCCUGCUAUCACUACUGAGGCCAAGGAAUCGAUCAGCUCAUUUCAGAGGUCAGCCUGGGCAUACAGUGAAUUCCAGACCAACCUGGACAAGAUGGGGAGACCCUAUCAAAACAAAACUACAAACCAAACAAACAGAAAAACAAAGCAAUUCAGGCUGGUUAGCUUUUAAAAUAAUUUCAAUACUCUAUUAAAUUGGAAAGGGUCCUCAAAGGGAGAUGAAUGCUAUCCCAUUACACAGGAACCUAGGGAAGUGGCUUUGCAAAUUCUUAUUAAGAUAGUUAAUCAGCCAGCAGGGCAGUUUAUUGUCUCCACUGGGUAGAUGCUAAGACUGAAGCCCAGAGAGGUUUAAGUCAGUGUUGUCUUGGCGGAAGAGCUAGAAUGGAGGCUCGACAUACUGUGUAGGGAGGGAUUGGGAGGGGGGGGGACCACAGAUUGUAUGGAUGAAGAUUGGGAGGGGGGGACCACAGAUUGUAUGGAUGAAGAUAAGGCUGGGUUCUUGCCUGUGUAAGGGUGGAGGCAUGAUUUGCCCAUCAAGUAGGGUAUGCUGUAUGCUAGACCUUACUCGUUUGGCAUUUCCUAUGAUCCUUGGGCUCAGGUUCAAGUUGAUUCUCCUUAUUUUGAAGAAGUGGGUUUAGAAAGGGUUCCACAGUUCCGUCUGGCGUUAUGGGCAGUAGUCAGUUACCAUGUGGGUGCAGGGGCUUGAACUCAGGCCCUCUAGAAGAGCAGCCAGAGAGCUCUUAACCACCAAGCCAUCUUUCCAGCCCCCUCCUUCCUUUUUCCCCUCUAUUUCAUUCAUUAUUUCUUUUUCUUUUUCCUUGUCCUGUACCAUCUCUUCAUGAAUUUUUGCUUAUUUAUUUUUUUUGCAGCUGGUAUGGCCGGUAGACAUUUUCUGACUCCUCUGUGCCAGGGCCUGCUGGUCACUGGAGGUAUUGAGACCCAGGCACACGGCUGAGACAGAUAGGCCCGUAUGGUAUAGUGUUAGUUUUAUGUGAGGAGAUCUGCCACUUUUCUCUCCAUGGCUACCAGUCCCCAGUCUCAUCUCUCCUCACAGGUCUGUGAUCUCCUUGCUCCCAUUUUGUUUUCCUGCUUUUUGAGCCUCAGCUGGUCUUGAAUUCCAUCUUCCUUUAGCCUCCACAGCACUGUUUAUAGGCACAUGUUGCUACAGUUGGCCAGUAGAAUCUUUUCUAAAGAGAAAUCUGGUCAUCAAAUAACACCACCUUUGAACCUCUGUAGGUGACCUACCUCACUGACAGUAAAGUCCUGAUUUAUUUUAAAACCCCUGUUUGAGUCAGUCCACCGAUUUUUAGGUUUUUUUUUUUUCCUUCUCAUUUUGUUAUAUGUGUCUGGGUGUUUUGCCUGCGUGUAGGUCUAUGCACCACGUGCAUGUGAUGUGGACAGGGGCCAGAAGAAAGUGUUGGGUCUCUGGAACUGGAGUUGUAGACGGUCGUGAGUCUCCAUGAGCUGCUAGGAAUUAAACCCUGGAACAGCCAGUCCUCUUCACCAUUAAGCCAUCUGUUAAGCCCCUCAAUUUUCAGAUGUGUUGGAGCAUAUACUGGACCUGGUACUUGGCAUGAACCUUCCAGGUUAACUGGCUGUGUUAAAUUCCUGCGAUGGGGGAGAGAUCCGUGUGUCUGAGCAGAUAGUGAGGAGAAUAAAGUGGAGAUAGAAACAGUUGGUAGACAGGAGUGGGGCCUGAAGCCCAGGUAAGGGUUAGGAUUUUAAACUUUUAAAAAGUUUCCCACUGGACUAUAACCAAGAACUUGCUAUGUGAGAACAAAGGGGACCAUGAAGCUGCUUUGUUGGCCCAGUUGAGAACUAGUGCUUUAGACGAGCGUGAGAUGCUCAGUCAAAACCUUGCUGAUGGAGGUGGGGGUAUGAUGACCCACAACUUUAACCUCAGUCCUCAGGAGGCAGUGGGAGGCAGUUAUCUUUUGAGUUUGCAGCUAGCUUGGUCUACAUAGUGAGUUUCAGGACAACCGAAGCUAUAUGAUAGGCCCUGUCUCAAAAAUAAAAGAACCCAGCAAAAAGAAAAAUGGGACAGAGGCAAAAAAUGGGAACGAGAAAUUUUACAAGGUUUUGGUCGGAGUGGUUGGUUGAAUGGUGGUUUCAUUUCCUAAAAUGGGAAGAUUGAGGGUGUUAGGCCAAGGAGUCUGGAGGGCUCGUACUUGAUGGUAAUAAUUGGACAUAAGUCUAGAGGUGCUGAGUCAGCCGUUGGAUUGUGAGUCUCAAAUUCCUGGGAGAAGUUUGCACUGGCGGUAAAUACGUGGGCGUCAUCUGCACAGGGAAGGUAUUCACAGCCAUUUGGCUAAAUGCCGAGCAUUGGAUAAGAGCUACUAUGGAUCCCUGAGGGUUCCUAGAGUUUGCCAGAUGAGGAGCAGCCAGGAAGGUAGGAGGGAAAGCACAAGAGAGAAUCGGAUGCCAA